rnacentral:rRNA from 1 species
AGAUUGAACGCUAGCGGGAUGCUUUACACAUGCAAGUCGAACGGCAGCGCGGACUUCGGUCUGGCGGCGAGUGGCGAACGGGUGAGUAAUAUAUCGGAACGUGCCCAGUAGCGGGGGGAUAACUACGCGAAAGCGUGGCUAAUACCGCAUACGCCCUACGGGGGAAAGGGGGGACUCUUCGGAACCUCUCACGUAUUGGAGCGGCCGAUAUCAGAUUAGCUAGUUGGUGAGGUAAAGGCUCACCAAGGCGACGAUACUGUAGACUGGUUUGAGAGGACGACCAGCCACACUGGGACUGAGACACGGCCCAGACUCCUACGGGAGCAGCAGUGGGAAUUUGGACAGUGGGGAAACCUGAUCCAGCCAUCCCGCGUGUGCGAUGAAGGCCGUUCGGUUGGUAAGCGUACCGUUUGGUCGAGGAAGUAAACGGACGU